rnacentral:rRNA from 1 species
GAUGAACGCUAGCGGGAGGCCUAAUACAUGCAAGUCGAGCGGUAGAGUGACUUCGGUUGCUUGAGAGCGGCGCACGGGUGAGUAACGCGUACAUGACCUACCUUCAAGACCGGGAUAGCCCCUGGGAAACUGGGAUUAAUACCGGAUGUGAUAAUAGAUAUAGAGAUUUAUUAUUAAAGUUGAGGCGCUUGGAGAUGGGUGUGCGUCUGAUUAGCUAGUUGGUGAGGUAACGGCUCACCAAGGCGACGAUCAGUAGGGGGCGUGAGAGCGUGACCCCCCACACGGGUACUGAGACACGGACCCGACUCCUACGGGAGGCAGCAGUAAGGAAUAUUGGUCAAUGGGCGCAAGCCUGAACCAGCCAUCCCGCGUGCAGGAUGAAGGUCCUAUGGAUUGUAAACUGCUUUUAUCAGGAAGAAACGCCUUCAUUUAUGAGGUCUGACGGUACCUGA